UAUGUCUCAUUAUGUUGUUGACUCCGGUCGUUGCCCCUCCAGUCCAGACAACCCUGUUUGUCGCCCCCCUCUCUUUCUCUGCUCUUUGCUCACAGUGCUUGUCGCCGCCGCCGUCUAGCUAGCCGGCAUGAUUUCCUGGAGUGAAGGAUCCAGCUCCUCGUCGGACGGCGACUCCAUCAGCAGUCUGGCUCCUCCCACCAUUGUCUGCUCCGAAUGAAGAGGCAUUGCUACAGAUCUACCUGCUAGAUGUGCACACCAAGCCAUAUGUGAGAACUUUGUGGGCUUUGAGUCCGUGGACAGUGAAAGAAGAUUCCUGGGUUGUGCAAAAAGGAAGGACCUAAAUGUAGGUAUGUGCACUAGGUUGACCCAGAGUGGCCUCCUCGAAUUGAAGAUGGGUCUAGGUAAGCUUUGGGACAUGUAUGGGGAUGAGGUCAAGCUCAGGCAAAAUGUUGUUAAUGCUGCAGAAAACUUUAAGAUAUUGGGAGAGAAGGAAAAUAUGGAAAAAGAUCUGAGGUUUUUUAAACUAGAUUUUGCUAAGAUUGUGGCUGACAAGUAGCAGGCAAUUGCCCAAUUGGGCAGCACACAGCUUGCUUUUUCGGACCUAAAGCAAGAUCUUUAGAAGAAGAAGAUGUAUGAUAAAUUUACCACUAGCAUUCAUCAAGUGGUGAGGGUUAAGGCAGAGAAAGAGAGGAAUGAGAUGAUGCAAGAGAGGGACAAAUUGAUGGAAGAGAAAGAUCAGAUGAAGAAAGAGAAAAGGAAGCUAGAGUACAUGAUUGGUGACUUAUUCAAGCAUAAGGAAGACACCAAGUGCAAGAUAAGGAAGGUUAGGGAGAUGCUAGAUGAAUUUGAGUGAUCCAUUGUUGUUGUAAUGCUGCCCAAAUUUGUAGCUCUUAGUUUGGUGUAGUUCUAUAAUGAAUUUUAUAAGUGGACUUGUUUAAUUUAGUGAGUUAGGAUCAACGGACUUGUUUAAUUUGGUGUAGCCUACAUUUGAGUGAUCAUUGAUGGAUUAGUAUCAUUGAUGGAAGAUGACUGAAUUAUUUGAUGCACUGAUUUUUUUAUCA